UGCAUAUGAUGUGAAAGAAUAUUUGCUAUCUGAAUAAUCAGUGUUGACACUUUUCCACCAAGAUCACUGAUGCA
ensembl:snoRNA SNORD24 Small nucleolar RNA SNORD24